GUCUGGGUGGCUCAGUUGGAUAAGCAUCUGACUUUGACUCAGGUCACAUGAUCUCAUGGUUCGUGGGUUCAAGCCCCUCAUCGGACU
rnacentral:tRNA from 1 species